CUUGAACGCUGGCGGCAGGCCUAACACAUGCAAGUCAGGCGAGCGGCGGACGGGUGAGUAAUGUAUGGGGAUCUGCCUGAUGGAGGGGGAUAACUACUGGAAACGGUAACUAAUACCGCAUACCAUCAGAUGAACCCAUAUGGGAUUAGCUUGUAGGGGAGGUAACGGCUCACCUAGGCGACGAUCCCUAACUGGUCUUAGAGUAUGAUCAGCUAUACUGGGACUGAGACACGGCCCAGACUCCUGCGGGAGGCAGCAGUGGGGAAUAUUGCACAAUGGGCGCAAGCCUGAUGCAGCCAUGCCGCGUGUAUGAAGAAGGCCUUCGGGUUGUAAAGUACUUUCAGUCUGGAGGCGUUACCGACAGAAGAAGCACCGGCUAACUCCGUGCCAGCCGCCGCGGUAAUAC
rnacentral:rRNA from 1 species